GCAACAUCGUCAUAUGAUAUACAAGUAGUUUUUAACUUAACGUCAGAAGAUCUACAGUUAGACAAUAAGAAAAGCACCGAUUACAAGAAAUUAACGUAUGAAGUAGAAUCUCAAAUGCUUAAAGAAUUAGCCUAUGCUAAUAUUAAGGUUAUACAGCUUAAAGUAAUUGAUUUAAGGAAGGGCAGUUUGAUAGCAGACAUUAACAUUUUCAUUGAAGAGAACACCAAACUAGAAAUAGAAUUAACUACGUCAUUAAAAAAACUGGAGAAUAGGGAAGUUACUUUAAAUGAUAAUCCAGUAUCGAUACGAAAUAUAGGUUUGAAAGACAAU